rnacentral:rRNA from 1 species
CAAGUCGAACGCGCAGCAUUCUGUAGCAAUACAGGGUGUGGGCGCGUGGCGAACGGGUGCGUAACACGUGGAUAACCUUCCUUGAGGUGGGGAAUAACCCAGUGAAAAUUGGGCUAAUACCGCAUAACAUCGCGAUGGCACAUGCUGUUGCGAUCAAAGGCGCAAGUCGCCACAAGAGGGAUCCGCGGCCGAUUAGCUUGUUGGCGAGGUAAUGGCUCACCAAGGCAAUGAUCGGUAGCCGGACUGAGAGGUUGGCCGGCCACACUGGAACUGAGACACGGUCCAGACUCCUACGGGAGGCAGCAGUGGGGAAUCUUGCACAAUGGACGAAAAUCUGAUGCAGCAACGCCGCGUGGGGGAUGAAGCUUCUCGGAGCGUAAACCCCUUUCGACCCGGAAGAAUGCCCGCAAGGGUAUGACGGUACGGGUAUAAGAAGCCCCGGCUAACUACGUGCCAGCAGCCGCGGUAAUACGUAGGGGGCCAGCGUUGCUCGGAAUUACUGGGCGUAAAGGGUCCGUAGGCGGUGUAGCAAGUCGAUAGUGAAAUCUCUGGGCUUAACCCAGAGGCUGCUAACGAAACUGCUGUGCUAGAGUGUGAGAGAGGCGAGUGGAAUUACGGGUGUAGCGGUGAAAUGCGUAGAUAUCCGUAGGAACAUCCGAGGCGAAGGCGGCUCGCUGGAUCACAACUGACGCUGAGGGACGAAAGCUAGGGGAGCAAACAGGAUUAGAUACCCUGGUAGUCCUAGCCCUAAACCAUCAGGACUUGGGGUUUGCCCUGUACGGGGCAAGUCCCGUAGCUAACGCGUUAAGUCCUGCGCCUGGGGGAGUACGGUCGCAAGGCUGAAACUCAAAGGAAUUGACGGGGGCCCGCACAAGCGGUGGAACAUGUGGUUCAAUUCGACGCAACGCGAAAAACCUUACCUGGGCUUGAACCGCACAGGACCAGCUUUAGAAUA